rnacentral:rRNA from 1 species
GUGCCAGCAGCCGCGGUAAUACGGAGGGUGCAAGCGUUAAUCGGAAUUACUGGGCGUAAAGCGCGCGUAGGUGGCUUGAUAAGCCGGUUGUGAAAGCCCCGGGCUCAACCUGGGAACGGCAUCCGGAACUGUCAGGCUAGAGUGCAGGAGAGGAAGGUAGAAUUCCCGGUGUAGCGGUGAAAUGCGUAGAGAUCGGGAGGAAUACCAGUGGCGAAGGCGGCCUUUCUGGACUGACACUGACACUGAGGUGCGAAAGCGUGGGUAGCAAAACAGGAUUAGAUACCCUGGUAGUCCACGCCGUAAACGAUGUCGACCAGCCGUUGGGUGCCUAGAGCACUUUGUGGCGAAGUUAACGCGAUAAGUCGACCGCCUGGGGAGUACGGCCGCAGGGUUAAAACUCAAAUGAAUUGACGG